rnacentral:rRNA from 1 species
CCUACGGGAGGCAGCAGUGGGGGAUAUUGCACAAUGGGGGGAACCCUGAUGCAGCGACGCCGCGUGGGUGAAGGAGCGUUUCGGCGCGUAAAGCCCUAUCGGCAGGGAAGAAGGAGGACGGUACCUGACUAAGAAGCCCCGGCUAACUACGUGCCAGCAGCCGCGGGAAUACGUAGGGGGCAAGCGUUAUCCGGAUUUACUGGGUGUAAAGGGGGCGCAGACGGCAGCGCAAGCCAGGAGUGAAAGCCCGGGGCCCAACCCCGGGACUGCUCUUGGAAAGGCGCGGCUGGAGGGCAGGAGGGGCAGGCGGAAUUCCUGGUGUAGCGGUGACAUGCGUAGAUAUCAGGAGGAACACCGGUGGCGAAGGCGGCCUGCUGGACUGCGACUGACGUUGAGGCCCGAAAGCGUGGGGAGCAAACAGGAUUAGAUACCCCGGUAGUC